GGUUCUGUAGCUCAGUGGUUAGAGCGCUCGCCUUACAAGUGAGAGACCUGGGUUCAAUCCCCGGCAGGUCAG